rnacentral:rRNA from 1 species
UAUUUUAGAGCUAUUAUCAAUUUAUUAAUCUAUAUAAAUUUACUAUCAAAUCCAAUUUCAUUAAACUAUUACAAGCUUAAAUCCAAUAUAAUAAAAUAAAUGUAACCCAUUAUAAACUUAAACAUAAGCUACAUCUUGAUCUGAUAUUAUUUAAAUUAAAAAUUAAGAAAAUUAAUAUUCUUAUAAAAUAUUCAUUAACGACGAUAUAUAAACUACAAAAACAAAUUUAAGUUAGAUCCAUCGUGGACUAUCGAUUACAAAACAGGUUCCUCUGAAUAGACUAAAAUACCGCCAAAUUUUUUAAAUUUCAAGAUCUUAACUAAUACUACUUAAAUAUUAUAAAUUAAAUUU